CCUACGGGGCGCAGCAGUGGGGAAUAUUGCACAAUGGGGGAAACCCUGAUGCAGCGACGCCGCGUGAGUGAAGAAGUAAUUCGUUAUGUAAAGCUCUAUCAGCAGGGAAGAAAAUGACGGUACCUGAGUAAGAAGCCCCGGCUAACUACGUGCCAGCAGCCGCGGUAAUACGUAGGGGGCAAGCGUUAUCCGGAUUUACUGGGUGGAAAGGGAGCGUAGACGGCAGUGCAAGUCUGGAGUGAAAGGCGGGGGCUCAACCCCCGGACUGCUCUGGAAACUGUACGGCUGGAGUGCAGGAGAGGUAAGUGGAAUUCCUAGUGUAGCGGUGAAAUGCGUAGAUAUUAGGAGGAACACCAGUGGCGAAGGCGGCUUACUGGACUGUAACUGACGUUGAGGCUCGAAAGCGUGGGGAGCAAACAGGAUUAGAUACCCUUGUAGUC
rnacentral:rRNA from 1 species